ensembl:lncRNA
GUUAACAUAGCGCGGCGCGAAGUAACGCUUAGCUUUCCCUAGACGCUAGCUAGUUACCAAGCUCCCUACUACGCUUCGGACUUACAUGGUUAAGGGCUCUAGCCUCGUUUUCUAUUUACGAUUCUCGGAUCUCGUCUUGGAUUAUUCCUUUCGCUUCGGACUGAGUGCUUGGCGCUUCACGCCUCCCUCGCCUUCUUGUCACUGCUCGGCCCGCGCUUGCCUCCCAUCUGGAAUCCAGUGGAAUAGGAUGAACAGGGGUAUGACAUGGGUUCUCUUGGGCUGGUUGAAUACAAGGCGUGCUGCUGCAUUCUGAAUCAUCUGAAGGGGUUUGAUGGAGCUGGCUGGGCGGCCCGAGAGUAGUACGUUGCAGUAGUCCAGUUCCGAUAUGACAAGAGUCUGGACUAGUAGCUGUGUAACCUGUUCGCCACAUCAGUCAAUUUCUGGCAACCGGCAGAAUCAAGGUAUACUAAAACAAUUAUUAUUUCUUUUUUUUGAUAACUACACACAUGGAUACAGAUAUUGAUCUGAAUAAUGUUUUUGUGACUUGUUUAAGGAAGUGUGAAUGAUCCACAAUCUCUUCGAGUUGGUAACUAUUUAAUUUAAUAAUAAUUAUCUUACUGUCAGUUUUAUUAAUUGUCUCCCAAACAGACUUAUGUUGACUUAUGGCAGUGUUCUUUUUUUUUUUCAUUGCUGUAGUUAGUAUUGUCAUUGAUGUUUCAAAACAAAUUCUGGACAGAAAUCUACAAGUUAUGAAAUUUGAUAGUUUGGAGAGGAGAAUCAUGCUGAAACUAGACCAAAUCCAGGACAACAUCACAGCAGCGGUCGGAACAAUGCACUAGUCAAUGAGCCAGCCAAGCACAUCUGUCUCUGAUCUUAUAGAGGUGCUAGAGGUGCCUUGUAAGACUGUGGAGGAAUUAACAGAGCUGUGAGAUAAGCUGAAAGAUGCUGACUUUCGAAAGAAGAAUGGUAUGUGCCACGACACAAGCAACAUUACUAGUCAUUGUUAACCUGAAAUCAUUUAAAACAACUUAC